GAUUAACGCUAGCGGCAGGCCUAAUACAUGCAAGUCGAGGGGCAGCAGGGUGUAGCAAUACAUCGCUGGCGACCGGCGCACGGGUGCGUAACACGUAUGCAACCUACCUUUAACUGGGGAAUAGCCCUCCGAAAGGAGGAUUAACACCGCAUAACAUCACGAGACGGCAUCGCCUUGUGAUCAAACCUCCGGGGGUUAAAGAUGGGCAUGCGUCCGAUUAGCUAGUUGGCGGGGUAACGGCCCACCAAGGCGACGAUCGGUAGGGGGUCUGAGAGGAUGAUCCCCCACACUGGUACUGAGACACGGACCAGACUCCUACGGGAGGCAGCAGUAAGGAAUAUUGGACAAUGGUCGCAAGACUGAUCCAGCCAUGCCGCGUGCAGGAUGAACGAUCUAUGAUCUGUAAACUGCUUUUGUUCGGGAAUAAACCCCUUCACGUGUGGAGGGCUGAAUGUACCGAAAGAAUAAGGGUCGGCUAACUUCGUGCCAGCAGCCG
rnacentral:rRNA from 1 species